UACGUAGGGGUCGAGCGUUGUCCGGAGUUACUGGGCGUAAAGCGUGCGCAGGCGGCUCAUUGCGCCCGGCGUGAAAGCCCCCGGCUCAACCGGGGAGGGUCGUCGGGGACGGGUGAGCUUGAGGGUAUCAGGGGUUGGUGGAAUUCCCGGUGUAGUGGUGAAAUGCGUAGAGAUCCGGAAGAACACCGGAGGCGAAGGCGGCUUGCUGGGCUGGGUCUGACGCUGAGGCGCGAAAGCGUGGGGAGCGAACAGG
rnacentral:rRNA from 1 species